rnacentral:rRNA from 1 species
UACGUAGGGUGCAAGCGUUAAUCGGAAUUACUGGGCGUAAAGCGUGCGCAGGCGGUGAUGUAAGACAGGUGUGAAAUCCCCGGGCUUAACCUGGGAACUGCAUUUGUGACUGCAUCGCUGGAGUGCGGCAGAGGGGGAUGGAAUUCCGCGUGUAGCAGUGAAAUGCGUAGAUAUCAGGAGGAACACCGGUGGCGAAGGCGGCGUUCUGGACUGCAACUGACACUGAGGAACGAAAGCCAGGGGAGCAAACGGG